GCAGUGAGGGGAGUUUUUCCAAACUUUCUUUGAGAAAUAUCUUAACAAUUUCAACUUAAAUGUUUACACAAAGUAAAGGGAUGGAGAGAAAUGUUCCAAAUGUAAAACAGCAAGCAAGAUUGUCCAAGUUAUGAGCAUUUGAAUCUUAUAACUGUAAUUAUCAAACAACCUUAUUAGUAAAGGAUAUGGCCUUCUCCAGCAAUAAUUUAUUUAAUUAUUUAAUAAUUUAUUGAAAUGUUUUUAAUUUUAGGAUACCUUUGUAAUGCUGAGGGUGAAGAGACAACAGAUAUUUCAACUUUAAAGGAACUUGAUACACCAAGUCCUACAACAGCCCUUCCACCACGGGAUGCUUAUGCUUCGGCAGAAAGAAGUCUGCCAACUUUAGUAGUGGCAGGAGUCAGCAUUGCCCUUGUGCUGCUCUGUAUUCUUAUAGUCACUAUUUUUUGGUAUGCAUGGAAAAAAUCACAAGAAGGUUCGAUGGAACUCAAUCCUCUCCCCUACGGUGAGGCUGGAGUGUC
rnacentral:lncRNA from 1 species